GCCCAGUGGGUUUCCCAGGUGUCUCAGUGGUAAAGAAUCCACCCGCCAAUUCAGGAGACCUGUGUUGGGCAAAUGACCUAGAGAAGGAAAUGGCAACCCACUCCGGUAUUCUUGGCUGAAGAAUCCCAUGGACAGAGGAGAGUGGAUCACAUCCAGGAUACCACAGUACAUUUCGUUUUCAUGUCUCCUUAAGCUCUUCUUGACUGUGACAGUUGUUGCUACAUCGUGUUGGACUAUUUCUGACCCCAUGGACGGUAGCCCGCCAGUCUUCUCUCUCCAUGGGAUUUCCCAGGCAAGAAUACUGGAAUGACUUGCUAUUUCCUCCUCCAGGUGAUCUUCCCUACCCAGGGAUCAAACUCAGGUGUCCUGCAUUGGCAGACUGAGCCACCUGAGAAGUCUGUUAUUCCAUGUACAUAUAAAUCCCAGAGAAGAGAGGACAUAUAUCCACUAAAAACAAGUACUGACAGCUUCUUAACAACUUUAUUCAUUGAAGGGCCAAACUGGAAAUAAUCUAAUUGCCCAUUAAAAGUAUAAUGUAUAAAUAAGCUGUGGUAUACACUGUAUAAUGUUAAAUAGUAAUGAAAAUAAAAUACUUCAUUAAAAUACUUGAAUAUUAAAAAUAUAACUGAGUGAAAGAAGCAGCACAAAAAAUAACAUUGCAUAAUAUUAUUUUUUAUGAAAUUAAAAAGCUGGCAAAAUUAAUACAUUGCAACUGAAUUAAAAAUAGUGACUUCUUCUGGGAAGGGUGUCUAUAAUGGGAAGAGAGGUAUCUGGGAUUAGAAGCACAUGAAGGAACCUGAUAGAGUAUAGUUAUUGUUCUAUACCAUCACCAGUAUAUGUGUCAUAGGACUGUACAAUAAUAUUGCUGUACUUCACUCACUUUCCAGAUUUUACUCAUUUUAAAUUUUUAAAAAAUUAUGAAAUGAAGCUCUGACUGAAAAACUUGGUAAAUGUUGAAAGACUAGCAAAUUUAAGACAAUGAAAAACUUGCCAGAUUUGAAGCAAAAAUGGUGCCUGUCUGUUAAUUUCAUUCAUAUGCUCAUACCUUUGAUUCUGUGACAACCUGUUUUAUUGAUAUUAUUAUUGCUAUUUUUAUAUGAAAUAAGCACAUUUCUACCAGUUUUCAUUCCCUCAUAGGAAACUUUGUGUGGCAUAAAUAAUAAUAGAUUCUGGUCUAGAAGAUUUGAGUUUGAAUACUUUUCUUCCAUAUACAAGCUGGUUGACUUUUACGCUAUUUCAAAAUUAUAAUUAUUCUCAUUGUGUAGACGGAGAAGGCAAUGGCACCCCACUCCAGUACUCUUGCCUGGAAAAUCCCAUGGAUGGAGCCUGGAAGGCUGCAGUCCAUGGGCUCGCUGAGGGUCGGACAUGACUGAGCGACUUCACUUUCACUUUUCACUUUCAUGCAUUGGAGAAGGAAAUGGCAACCCACUCCAGUGUUCUUGCCUGGAGAAUCCCAGGGAUGGGGAAGCCUGGUGGGCUGCCGUCUAUGGGGUCACACAGAGUCGGACAUGACUGAAGUGACUUAGCAAUAGCAAUAGCAUUGUGUAGAAGAGGAGAAAAAAAUUCCUCUAAUUAGAGUGCCUUAGGAUGAAUAGUAUAAACAUAUUGAUAUUUUUUCCAGUCUUCUUUUUUUGUACAUUAUAUUUUAUUUAGCCAUUAUACUUUGUAUUUAAUGCUGUAAUGGAUUUCAAUUUACAUUUUUAGCAUAAUCACUUUGACAUGUCACUCAGCAGCCAUUGCAAUUAAUAUUUUUGUGUCAUAUACUUCUAUAACUACCAUUUCAAAAUCAUCACAUGACCACAUUUUCUUUUUUCGCUUUUUGCAGAGACCUUAAUAUAUUCUGAUAUUUUCUUGCUUAUUUAUAUGUUUAAUUUUAUCUCUGACUCUCCCCAUAUGAAUGUAAUUUUCAUGAGAGAGAAUGCUUUGUGUGUCUAGUUCAAUGUAUGAUACAGGUGUAAAAAUAUUUUUUUACCUAUUUAAUUUUUAAUUACUUGCUAAAAAAAUAAUCCAUUGACUAGAAAUAUAUUUAUCCAUUCCUUUAUUAGAAACAGUUGUAAAAAAACACUCUAAUCAACACCUUAUAGCUCUCUAUUUUACAAUAUUUCACAGAAGUGAAUAGAUAUAUUUAUAUCAUAGGGCAUGAAUUUUGAAAUAAGCAAGUCAGUUAACUUUUAAAAAUUUCAGUGUCAUUUGUGAAAAAAUAUAAAAAUUUAUAGCAAUAUCAUCGUCUGAGCUUGUUGAGAUGUUUAAAUGAGGUAAUUGAAGGGAGGUACCUUGUAAAUUCUACAGUAAUAUAUUCAUGAAAGAACUAUUAUUAUAUCUUGACAGUGCUUAUGAGCAUAUAUUAAUUUUUAUAUGUGAUAUUUAUUAUGUAAUUGAACUAUGAUACUGCAAUAUGGAAGAAUCACUCAGGAUACCACGCUUGAAGAAAUCUUAACACUGCUGCCUAAUAAAGUUAUGGGUAGAGCAGGAGUCCAUGUUAUAAAGUAGUGUGUACUUCUUUAUAAGAAGCACUAGAGUUUAAAUACAUGCUGUGUGUGAACAAAAGCCAAACUGAUAAGAUAGCUCUGUGUAACUAGUGCUGGUAUGCGUACUAAGUCCUAUGGCUUAUAGGAAAGAGUAAUAGGAUGUUACUGUUGAGUCCAUAGGAAUGAGUGGGUAGGAUUGGAAUGAUGUAGGAAUAGGGAAAUGUGAUUAUUUAAAUUUUUGUUCACAGUGUUAGCUGAAAAAUUAUUUUUCAGUCUGAAAUACUGAGAAUUAGAAGGUUUGAAUUAAAAAUAAUAGACAUAUUGGAAAUAAAGU
ensembl:lncRNA